GCCAGGGUUGAGGGUUCGUUUCCCACGGGGGGCCAGUAUGAAAAUACGGAAAGGGCUGGCUCUCACUUCUAGACAUGUCUGAUGCUAGGGCAUCAGUGCUGGACAAGAAGAUGCCUUUCAGGCUGCUGAGGACCAUUGGUGUCCUGUAUGUCCCUGCAUCAACAGAGGAGAGAAGGAAGACGGUCCACCCACCAAUCAUCCCAUCCCCAGGCUCCUACCCAGUCCACGCCCACGCUCCAGUUUCCUCCAAUCUACAGGCUACCGAGACCACACCAAAGACAUUUGAAGGCUGGGCCAACUCAUACUAUACACAGGGGAGCCCUGUUCAGCUCUCAGGUUAUUAUGGUCACAACCAUGGAUAUGUCCUCAAGCAUAGCUUUGGGCCAAGUCAUGGACAUAGUCACUAACACAGCUCCGGCCAUGGACACAGUCAUGGGCACACAUAUGCCUCUCAAACCACUAGUCACUGGGAUCCAGUGGCUCAACAUCUACAUUCUCAACAUUCCCACCUCAGUCCACUGUCUGUGUCUGUCAGUGCCCCCCAGAGUUUCACAGCAAACAUGCCAGAGUCACUGCCAGGAUCUGUGAUGGUUCACCCAGGGGCACCUGUGUCUUCACUGACAGAUUGUUGACAUAGAAAACACAUUGAAUGACAGAGCUAUCUCAUAUGUUAUACGUUGAGAUAUAAUAUGCUUGGACAUGGGGUUUGAGGCAGUACUUAAAGGUACAUGGUUUCUUCACUGAUGAUUUUGGUUUCAAGAAACAAGCAGGCUCUGAAUGUUCAAGGUCAAAUCAAUACAAGAAGGUUUUGAUUGUCA